AUUUAUAUAGUUUAUUAAAACAUUACAUUUUCAUUGUAAAAAUAAAAUUUUAAUUUUUAUGAGUAUUAA
rnacentral:tRNA from 1 species